rnacentral:lncRNA from 1 species
ACUUCACUCGACUCAUAAAUAUCUUAAAGAAUGGCGACCUGUACCGCAGAUCAACGAUUGGCAUGUGUUUGACCUAAACCCUUGAUGAGAUGGUCUCCAAUGGGAUUCUUAGUCCAGAGCUUGCUAUUCAAAUACUUGUUCAGUUUGAUAAGGUCUCCCUCCUCCUCAUUUCCAUACUCAAUCUCUUUUCUAGAUCAAAUCAUGCUUAAUUAUUAACAACUGGUGGUGGAACAUUCAUAACAUAUGUGUUUAAUUUGGGGUGGUGUUGCUUCAAAUACUAUUAAAGACACCGGAAUUCUGAGAUAAAUUAUUUGAAUUUGGGUCGUUUUGUUUUCGUUAUGUAUUUCAAUCUUCGUGCUAUUGUGAUGUUAGGGUUUAUAAAUUGAAAUAGAAUUGGAACUGAAAUUGAAAUCGAAAGACAUUGUGGAGAUCUAUUUUCAAAUUGGGUUUGCAAUUUUUAGGUGAAAGGUGUUUGCCAAAGUGGCAUAUUUGAUUACCAGACAGACAUGUAAUAAUAAUUCCUCCUGCGGUGGGUGGGAUCGAUAUCUCACAGUUUUUUGUAGAAGAAAAGAGAUGAGAUUCAGCCCAAGAGAUUUAACUGAGAAUAACCCCACUGACUGGUACUCACAAGUUUGAUUAUGGUUAGUUGAGUAUAUGGUUUCAUAAGGUAGAAUUACUGUUUUAUUUUAAUAAAAAAAAACUACUGUAUUCUUCUAAAGGGUUAAAUGGGUAAGCUACAGGUUACAAGAGUCAAAUAAAUACUAAACAAGUAUCUGAUAUCUCGUGGAUCCCAACCCGUAUUUAUUACCUCGAUUGCCUUCUCCAUUUGGUUAUUGACUUAAUUCGGUUUGGUUGUAUUCAUCUUCUUUAUGUUCUUGUUUCAAUUGUUUUUUCAUGUUUCAAUGCUGGUGGGUGAUUUCUUGAGACAAAGAGAGGUUGGUUAUGAUAUUGGUGAAGGUUUAAAAGAUUUAUUAAAAGAAAUUGCUGCUUUGGAUUAUGGUUAAGAUGUCUAGUUUAGGCCCACUAUGCUUUCGAUGAAAUUCUAAAGAGAAAAAAAAACUAAUAAUGUUUCCUUCUGUGGUUCAAGAACAAUAACCAGAUUUGGGAAUAGAAAGCCUCAGCUUGCUCUUGCUCUGUUUUUUGCAGAUCUAUUGGGUGAUCCACAUCAGAUAUUUCUGGUCACCGUUGUAGCCACUCUAAAGGCAUUGGCUAUGUAUUCAAGGUGAUGGCAAUUCCGACAACCAGGGGUAUUGAAAAAACCACCCAAUCUUUUGGUUGAAGAGCUUAAAGUGAUGUCAAAAGAAGUUGAGUAAGUGCUGGGAACUAUGAGGUGGAAGUAUGACUACUAAGAAAACGUUAACACGAUGAUUAUUUAACUCGCAUGAAGAUUGUGAAAGAGAUUCAUGAAAACCAUGAAGUUUUGAGUUUUUAUUCAUACACUUGUUAGUUUAUUUGGGUUAUAUGUUUGAUCAUUAAACUUAGAUCGACAUUUAUUAAACAUUUGGAAUCUUUGGAAGAUUGAUUGAACUUUUAAUUGAAGUGAUUAUUUUAUGAUUUCUAC